GACAAGUCACGUGAGCGACCGGUUGCCCUGGGGACGCGCUCCCGGACCUCCGAGCAGCAGCAACCGGCUGGGCCUCGCUCUAGAGAUCGGCAGGAUCCAGAUGCGGGAUUAUGGCUGUGUCCACCCGCUUAUCCAUUGGCACCUCCGAUGCCUUGUACGAGUCGGAGAAGAACACAGGGGAGCCCGAGAACACCUAUAUUCUGAGGCCCGUUUUCCAGCAAAGGUUUAGACCCUCUGUGGUUAAAGACUGCAUCCAUGCCGUGCUCAAGGAAGAACUGGCAAGUGCUGAAUAUUCUCCAGAUGAAAUGCCUCAUCUCACAAAACAUCUGUCAGAAACCAUUAAGGAUAAACUAAAAGAAUUGGGAUAUGACCGGUAUAAAAUGGUGGUGCAAGUAGUGAUUGGAGAACAGAGGGGUGAAGGAGUAUUCAUGGCUGCUCGAUGCUUCUGGGAUGCAGACACUGACAACUACACUCAUGAUGUCUUCAUGAACAUAUGCUGUUGUUAGAACACACAAACCCAGCCACAGAAGCGGAGUGCUGCCCACCAAACAGCUGGCUUCUGGCUCAUAAUUAGGACAGCUUAUUCUGUGUUGUAGCAGCAUUUGGUUGUUUCUACUACUGAAUCUUUGGAAAGAAUGACUGUGACUAUGAAGAAACCUCGACUUUUUUAUAUUGUUAAGUAUCCUGAUCAAAUAAAAAUAAGUUGGUACUUUGGCACCUAAAA